rnacentral:lncRNA from 1 species
CUUCGUCCUCUUCUUCUCCUUCAUCGCUCUCUCUGAAAUGGCCACCCUCGGCGGAAUCGGCGACUCCCCUGCCGGCUCCGAGAACAGCCUCGAAACCGAAGCCCUCGGUCGCUUCGCCGUCGACGACCACAACCAGAAGCAGGUGAUUAAUCAAUUCAUCAAUUCAUGAAUUUGUUUUCGAAAUAGUUUUGAAGUGAUUUGUGAUCGGAUUGAAAAUUUGAUUGUGCAGAAUGGUAUGCUGGAGUUUGUUCGGGUGGUGAAGGCCAAGGAGCAGGUGGUUGCCGGCACUCUGCACCAUCUGGUGGUGGAGGCCAUCGACGGCGGCAAGAAGAAGCUCUAUGAAGCCAAGGUCUGGGUCAAGCCUUGGUUGAACUUUAAACAAGUUCAGGAAUUCAAGCACGCUGGUGAGCCCGAGACUGUGUCCGGAACGCCGUCGUUUACCUCUUCCGAUUUGGGGGUUAAGCAAGG